CUACGGGGUGCUCCAGUAGGGAAUAUUGCACAAUGAGCGAAAGCUUGAUGCAGCGACGCCGCGUGGAGGAUGACGGUCUUCGGAUUGUAAACUCCUGUUAAGUGGGAAGAAAGACUCGUAAGUAAUAUGUGCGAGGGAUGACGGUACCACUAGAGAAAGCUCCGGCUAACUUCGUGCCAGCAGCCGCGGUAAUACGAAGGGAGCUAGCGUUAUUCGGAAUUACUGGGCGUAAAGAGCGUGUAGGCGGUUGAUUAAGUUGGUUGUUAAAUUCCUUGGCUUAACCGAGGGUCAGCAAUUGAUACUGGUCGACUGGAGGGCGAGAGAGAAAAGUGGAAUUCUCGGAGUAGCGGUAAAAUGCAUAGAUCUCGAGAGGAACACCGGUUGCGAAGGCGGCUUUUUGGCUCGUUUCUGACGCUAAAGCGCGAAAGCGUGGGGAGCAAACAGGAUUAGAUACCCCAGUAGUC
rnacentral:rRNA from 1 species